rnacentral:rRNA from 1 species
GACGAACCGUCCGAACGUUAUUCGGAAUCACUGGGCUUAAAGGGUGCGUAGGCGGCGCGGAAAGUUGGGUGUGAAAUCCCUCGGCUUGAACCGAGGAACUGCGCCCAAAACUACCGUGCGUUGAGGGAGAUAGAGGUGAGCGGAACUUAGGGUGGAGCGGUGAAAAUGCGUUGAUAUCCUAAGGAACACCGGUGGCGAAGGCGGCAUCCUGGACCAACACUGACGCUGAGUGAGCGAAAGCCAGGGGAGCAAACGGGG